CCUACGUCUGUUCAUCUUCAGAUGAGUUGAUUUUUUUGACCUGAAUGGUGCAAUUUCAAUGCGUGUUUAAACCUUUUCAAUCUCAAUUUUUAUCAUUUCUGGUUGUAGGAAUGAGAGAUGAUUCAAAGGAAUUUGCGUUGGAAUUGUUCGAUGCUCUGAGCAGACGACGAAGGUUGAAUGUUGACAAGAUCAGCAGAGAUGAGCUUUACGAGUAUUGGUCUCAAAUCACUGAUCAGAGCUUCGAUUCUCGACUCCAGAUCUUCUUCGACAUGAAAUUGUGAUUGAAUCAGCAGCAGCAAAACCAAUGACAAAUUGAUCAAAUCAGAGUUUUAUCAUUCCAGAGAAAUUCUGGACCAGAGAAAUUUUUCUCUGGGUUGAAUCUAGAGAAAUUCUUUGGAAGUCCAGAAUUUCUUUGCUUCCAACUGAUGAUGGGUUGCUUUCCUUCCAACUGUCAAAAUUGAACUGCUUUCUGUGCAUUUGGGGCUUCUUAUUGAAGCUUCUUGUGUUCUUGUUUUUGUAAAUUUCUCUGGCUUGUUACAUUUGUGUU